rnacentral:rRNA from 1 species
CAUUACACAAAUAUGAAGCCGGACUGGGAUAGGGCCUCGCUGCCUUGCCCGUCUGGCGCCAUAUUCACCCAUGUCUUUUUGCGUACUACUUGUUUCCUUGGCGGGUCCGCCCGCCAAUUGGACCUUAUUCAAACCUUUUUUUCAGUUGCAAUCAGCGUCAGCAAAACAAAUGUAAUCAAUUACAACUUUCAACAACGGAUCUCUUGGUUCUGGCAUCGAUGAAGAACGCAGCGAAAUGCGAUAAGUAGUGUGAAUUGCAGAAUUCAGUGAAUCAUCGAAUCUUUGAACGCACAUUGCGCCCUUUGGUAUUCCAAAGGGCAUGCCUGUUCGAGCGUCAUUUGUACCCUCAAGCUUUGCUUGGUGUUGGGCGUCUUGUCUCUCUCCCGAGACUCGCCUUAAAAUCAUUGGCAGCCGGCCUACUGGUUUCGGAGCGCAGCACAUUAUUUGCGCUCUUGUCCAGCCGCGGUCGCGCGUCCAUGAAGCUUCUUUCAACCUUUUGACCUCG